GGGCCGUUAGCUCAGCGGUAGAGCGGCUGACUUUUAAUCAGAAGGUCCUGGGUUCGAAUCCCAGACGGCCCU
rnacentral:tRNA from 1 species